AGCGAACGCUGGCGGCAGGCUUAACACAUGCAAGUCGAGCGGGCACCUUUCGGGGUGUCAGCGGCGGACGGGUGAGUAACGCGUGGGAACGUGCCCUCGGGUUCGGAAUAACUCAGGGAAACUUGAGCUAAUACCGGAUACGCCCUUUUGGGGAAAGGCUUGCUGCCGGAGGAUCGGCCCGCGUCUGAUUAGCUAGUUGGUGAGGUAACGGCUCACCAAGGCGACGAUCAGUAGCUGGUCUGAGAGGAUGAUCAGCCACACUGGGACUGAGACACGGCCCAGACUCCUACGGGAGGCAGCAGUGGGGAAUAUUGGACAAUGGGCGCAAGCCUGAUCCAGCCAUGCCGCGUGAGUGAUGAAGGCCUUAGGGUUGUAAAGCUCUUUUAUCCGGGAAGAUAAUGACGGUACCGGAGGAAUAAGCCCCGGCUAACUUCGUG
rnacentral:rRNA from 1 species